rnacentral:rRNA from 1 species
ACUGAGUGGCAAACGGGUGAGUAUAAUGUGGGAAUCUGCCUUUUGGUUUGGAAUAACACGGGGAAACCUGUGCUAAUACCGAAUAAGCCUUUACAGGGAAAGUUUUAAUGCCAAAAGAUGAGCCCGCACUUGAUUAGCUAGUUGGUAAGGUAAAAGCUUACCAAGGCAACGAUCAAUAGCUGUUCUUAGAGGAAGACCAGCCACAUUGGGACUGAGACACGGCCCAGACUCCUACGGGAGGCAGCAGUGGGGAAUCUUGCACAAUGGGGGAAACCCUGAUGCAGCGAUGCCGCGUGAGUGAAGAAGGCCUUUGGGUUGUAAAACUCUUUCGUCGGGGAAGAAAAUGACUGUACCCGAAUAAGAAGGUCCGGCUAACUUCGUGCCAGCAGCCGCGGUAAUACGAAGGGACCUAGCGUAGUUCGGAAUUACUGGGCUUAAAGAGCUCGUAGGUGGUUAAAAAAGUUGAUGGUGAAAUCCCAAGGCUCAACCUUGGAACUGCCAUCAAAACUUUUUAGCUAGAGUGUGAUAGAGGUAAGUGGAAUUUCUAGUGUAGAGGUGAAAUUC